UUUAUGGCACAAAUUGAGGCAUCUUUUAUUUAUAGUGUGUUGCCUUUUUUGGGUGAUCUACUGUUACUAGGUUGCGUGAUUGCUGCCAGUUCACCGGAGGCCCUUCCAGUUGAAGCCAGCCAGCACUAGCCAUGUUGCUUCCUCUUUCCUUGUGAGAGUGACCUCAUGGCCACAAACACAAUGCUUCUGUCUCCUUCACAUCACUGCAAGGUCACCACCUGCUCCACUUUCCUCUCCUUUAGUCUCAUUUAAGCUUUCAUGUGUAUUCUGAUGCUUGGUGUGGGCACAGGCAGGACAAAUAAAUAUCUUGUGCUCUAUUUCCUAUUCAUAAGUAUGUUGUGGCAACAUCUUUGUGUGUGUUUGAAUGGUUGGCGUUGGCAAGUUCAAAGCCUUUGUGGAAAAAGAAUGCCACACAAGAUCUCAAUGAUGUGAUAACUGAUAACCAUUUAUUCUAUUCAGAAUGCUACAAUAUCUUGGUGCUGUGAUUUUCCACUAAAGACAUGUGACCUGAUUUCACCCCCUUUUGUAUGGACAAAUUAUUUAUUUGCUUGAGCUAUAGUUUAGAUGCCCACUGCUUAGUCCAUGUUGAGGUAAUAAAUUUGUAUCCUGUAGCCCUGCUUCUUCCUUUAUGUAUCGAGCAAAUUUUAUGCUUAUAUAUUUGCAACUAUAUGCAUCUCAUGGCUUCUCUUUCUUAUUUAGUGUAGUUUUGCUCGCUAAAACUUGCAGUCUGCAUUGCUCAUCAAUUUAUAGUGUUAAAGGGGCUGACAUUCAUUUCGGUGAAGAAGUCUAUUUCAGGUGAGGGCAUACAAUGUAAUCAUUCUUUCAUGUUAGAUAGUUUUUCACUUUAUUUGAUUUGUACAAUAUACUUGCAUUCUGAGCACUCAUCACUGGUUAAUUCUUUCUCAUCUGAUUACUAUGCCUUUUAGUUUUACUAUGAAUUCCCAUGCAUCUUUCUGACUUGAUACCUAGCUCCCCCAGCAGAAAUGCUUGCGACACAUAGAGCCCAACAUCGGUCAUUCCACAAAUUUUGUCCGCGACCUGUACUGUUCAGUACCCUCCAUGUGGCCUAUUCGGUGCACGAUCACAAGAUCGUAUGGACCAGCUGGGUUUCUUUGAAACUUUGUUUGAGCGACAACGCAGGCUAUCAUAUUGAACUUAGCAGAACUACAAACUAAUACUAGAGCGAAUACUAGACCAAGAUGAUAGAGUAAAUUCAAAAGUGAAGAAAUUAGCUUGGAUCGAUUAAAAGAGGACAAUGAAAAACCCCAUGGACCAAUGUACUAUUCGGUUUAGUACAUCUAUUGUUUACAAUAAUUUUCUAUUUAAUUAUAACUAUGAAAUAGUUCUUAUAAUGUUCCCUGUUUCCGUCUUUGAAUCAUCAACAUUUCCUUAGAAGAUGCUAUUUAGUUGGAUUAAGCUCGUGUUUAGUUUUUUAACAUAUGACUGGAGAUAGUUCUGAUGUGAAAAUUAGUGAAGUGCUUGCAGUGGAUGGUCGGUGUGAUUGUAUUCUAAGUUGGCAUGCACUACUUCGUGAAAAUCAGUGGGCUUGCCAUUAAUGUGCUUUAUACCUAUUAUUUCUCUGGUUAUGUUUUGUUGGGGAGAUAAGGUGUUUGAUUUAAGUCCAAAUAUUCAUAUUUUAUUAGGUAAAUUUUGAUACAUAUAAGGUGGCCACGGUCGGAUAAGAAUAGCUUUUGAAGAAGUUACCUCACGAGAUGAAACAUUAUCAUUAAUUAUUGGAUAGACAUGUUAUGUAUAUCUAGGUUAGAAUUAUUUGCAUAUUUUGGUAAAGGUAAUCUAUUUGGAACAUAUUAUAACAAUAAUAAGCCAGUAUGCAGCAAAGAAAACAUUUGGUUGCAUGUUGCUGAUGCUGCUUGCCACUGCCUGCUGAUACUGCUACUUGCUGCUGCGUGUUGAUAAUACUGCUAAAUUGCUGAUGCUACUCUCGGAUGCUGGUGUGGGAUGUAUGAUCUUUCAUGAGGCUGAUGAACAAAGGCAGCAGCGCUGGGAAUUGGCUGGAUUUAUUUUGUUGUAACAAAGGUAUGCUUUAAAUAGAUAGAUACAAUGAAGAUGUUGAAAAUAUGAAAAUGAAAUUUAUCUGCUUAGUAAUUUGUGCUACUGAAUUUUGGAUAGUUCAAAUAAGAAAUAUUAUUCGAGUGUGAUGUCUAAGAUUAUGAUUUCAACAGAAAUCAAGUCGACGUAUAAUCAAGAUUGGAAGAUUAGAGCGUUCUGCCACAUGAUAAAAAAAUGUUAAAAAAUCAUAUGCUAAAGUGGGAGUUCCCUUUAUUAAGAGAAGUCAAGUUUACAAAAUGUAAGAUAUUUGAUAUUCCAGAUGACGUCUAUCUGAGAGUCAUAGGCGACAAUGAACCACUCUCGGAUGUUCUGCUCCUUUCUGGAUGGCGGCGCGUCUCUAUCCAUGGCCGCUUCUUAUUGCCAUGUCAUCGGUCCAGAGGCGCAGGAGCUGAUCCUUAUUCGUGUCUCGGGCCUAGGAGCAAGCAGAGGUAUUGUUGCAAUUUCUGGGCCCGUUAGUCGGUGCUGACUUUGGUGCUAUAUGCGGAAGGUUUCCAUGUGUGAAAUUUUAUGGUGGAGAUGCUGACUCAGAAGUAUGCAUCUCAUGUCUGGGUUCUGUUGGUGGUGGCUAUCUUUUGUAUUUGUAUGGCGAUACUAUUUCCUACCUUUCAGCAAUUUCAUAUGCUCCUUCGCCUACUUCUUAACUUUUUCUAGAUGCGGAUGUAUCUAUAACUAAGAUGUGUCAAGAUACAUCCAUACGUAGACAAAACUAAGGCACCUAUUUUUAGACGGAGGGAGUAGUAUGUUUUUUGUGUGGAAAAUGACAACUCAAUAAUCUCCAUGGAGUGCCUUUUAUAUCUUU